UACGAAGGGGGCUAGCGUUGCUCGGAAUCACUGGGCGUAAAGGGUGCGUAGGCGGGUCUUUAAGUCAGGGGUGAAAUCCUGGAGCUCAACUCCAGAACUGCCUUUGAUACUGAGAUCUUGAGUUCGGGAGAGGUGAGUGGAACUGCGAGUGUAGAGGUGAAAUUCGUAGAUAUUCGCAAGAACACCAGUGGCGAAGGCGGACUCACUGGCCCG
rnacentral:rRNA from 1 species